rnacentral:ncRNA from 1 species
UGAUAGCUGUGAAGCGUGAGGUUGCUGUCGAAAGACAGGUUUUCCGUGGAGCGAAUGUCAAGUUCAAGAUAACUGACGACAA